AAUGACUGGGCAAAGGCCUCAGCAGACAAGCUGUUCAGUCAUUGGCUGCACAGCCCAACACAAAUUUACAUAUGUAAAUGUAUGUAAAUAAUUUUUUACGGCAAUGUCCGGCUAGAGUCACAAAAACGGGAAUGUGUGUGUGAACUUUCGUGUUGGACUGUUUUCACAACCUCGGUCAGUACAACAGUGGACUGACUGAAAGACUGUUCCUGAAAGAGGGAUUGUACCAACUGUCUGUGGAGAGACAGCAGAGGAAGUCACUGUGACCUGAUGAAGCUCAGGUGUUCCUGGACCCAUCAGAGGACAGAGACAGCUGCAGCAUCAGGACAGUCUGGGUAUCCAAAGGAAGACUCAACAAGAUGAACACUGACCGCAGAGCUCCAUUACCAGCUCACACUUCAGUAUACUAGAAACCAUAAACCUUGAUGGAGGACAUGAUCUGCACAGUUUACAUAAAAGUUAUAGCUUUGUUACUUACAACAUGUGUAACUGGAAUAUGAAUGAAAUAUAAAUAAAGUGUUUUACUUUUAAGAA